UACGAAGGGGGCGAGCGUUGUUCGGAAUUACUGGGCGUAAAGGGCGCGCAGGCGGCCGAUCAAGUCAGGCGUGAAAGCCCCGGGCUUAACCUGGGAAUUGCGCUUGGGACUGGUUGGCUUGAGUUCGGGAGAGGAGAGUGGAAUUCCCAGUGUAGAGGUGAAAUUCGUAGAUAUUGGGAAGAACACCGGUGGCGAAGGCGGCUCUCUGGACCGAUACUGACGCUGAGGCGCGAAAGCGUGGGGAGCAAACAGG
rnacentral:rRNA from 1 species